GAACGCUGGCGGCAGGCUUAACACAUGCAAGUCGAGCGGGGAAAGGUAGCUUGCUACUUGACCUAGCGGCGGACGGGUGAGUAAUGCUUAGGAAUCUGCCUAUUAGUGGGGGACAACAUCUCGAAAGGGAUGCUAAUACCGCAUACGUCCUACGGGAGAAAGCAGGGGACCUUCGGGCCUUGCGCUAAUAGAUGAGCCUAAGUCGGAUUAGCUAGUUGGUGGGGUAAAGGCCUACCAAGGCGACGAUCUGUAGCGGGUCUGAGAGGAUGAUCCGCCACACUGGGACUGAGACACGGCCCAGACUCCUACGGGAGGCAGCAGUGGGGAAUAUUGGACAAUGGGGGGAACCCUGAUCCAGCCAUGCCGCGUGUGUGAAGAAGGCCUUUUGGUUGUAAAGCACUUUAAGCGAGGAGGAGGCUACCGAGAUUAAUACUCUUGGAUAGUGGACGUUACUCGCAGAAUAAGCACCGGCUAACUCUGUGCCAGCAGCCGCGGUAAUACAGAGGGUGCAAGCGUUAAUCGGAUUUACUGGGCGUAAAGCGCGCGUAGGUGGCCAAUUAAGUCAAAUGUGAAAUCCCCGAGCUUAACUUGGGAAUUGCAUUCGAUACUGGUUGGCUAGAGUAUGGGAGAGGAUGGUAGAAUUCCAGGUGUAGCGGUGAAAUGCGUAGAGAUCUGGAGGAAUACCGAUGGCGAAGGCAGCCAUCUGGCCUAAUACUGACACUGAGGUGCGAAAGCAUGGGGAGCAAACAGGAUUAGAUACCCUGGU
rnacentral:rRNA from 1 species